GACGAUAAUGGACUGAACUUCAGAACCAGAUUCCUUCAGCUGCUGACCCAACAUGAGCUCCUCCGUUGAAGCCUAGAGUGGGAGAGUCUCCCCAUCUGAAUCUCGCCUCCAAGGAUGACAUCCACCCCCUUCUUUACAUCCAUCUGGUGUCACUUUAUAGAGGACAAAACAGAGACUUGGACCCUCAGGAAGAGGCUCCUUAGCUCCACAUCUGCCCUGGUUCUUCACACAAGUGUCUCCUGUUCUGGGACAUGGUCCAUGAAAACACUAACAGAGUUCCUCUCAAGUGGCUUCGGAUGUGGGUGAUCUGGUCCCUUCCAAUCCUGAGGUUUAUAGAGAAAUAUUGGGCAGAAAAGGUUCCACUUAGGAAGGGUUAGUUCUGUCCAGAUUCAGAACAACGCUCAGAAAGUAUGAAUAGACAGGGAAGAGGCACUGGAGCAGUUGACCCUAGGGAAUGAGAUUCGGGAUAGAAGAGGACAUAGAUGGAUUACAUCUUUAUUACGGGACUUGCAAGUAUGGUUUGACUUUUAAUAUAAUGUAUAAUAUUUGAUGGAAAAUGAGAGUGGAUUUAAACAAAUUGAACAGUGGAUCUUCUAAGAUUGUGCAUGGAGCAGGAAGGAAUAUAGGGGAAUGGUUGUCUCACAGGUUUAUGGUAAGAAUUACACAGAAUAAGGCUUUUCAUACAUACCAGCAUUGGACCAGACUUAUUAUUUUGACAAUUGUGAGUGUGUGUGCGC